rnacentral:rRNA from 1 species
UACGUAGGUGGCAAGCGUUGUCCGGAUUUACUGGGCGUAAAGAGCGCGCAGGCGGUCGUUCAAGUCGCGUGUGAAAGCCCCCCGGCUCAACUGGGGAGGGUCACGCGAUACUGAUCGACUGGAAGGCAGGAGAGGGUAGUGGAAUUCCCGGUGUAGUGGUGAAAUGCGUAGAUAUCGGGAGGAACACCAGUGGCGAAGGCGGCCUUCUGGUCGGAUACUGACGCUAAAACGCGAAAGCGAUGGGGAGCAAACAGG